UCGUGGCGGCGUCGCAUCUGAAACGCCUCUGGUCGCAACAACUUUUGAUAAGUUGUACAGCUCUGCUCGGCGAAUGAGGAAUCGCUAUCGCGCGGCUAUUUAAUCAGCAUAUCCGAUUACUUUCUCGUAAACAUAUUCGUUUCAGAUAGGGCGAGACGGCCGGUUAAUUGCAGGUGCCACUGGCAAUUUUCGAUCGAUCAACAACUUGGACGCCAUCGUUCGCGCGCGCAAAGCGUCCGUUGGAUAAUUUCCGGCGAUUAGAUCGCAGGAGACACGACGUAAAGUAUCCGGACGGUGUGCAACGAUGAUCAACGAAUUUUGGUCAGGCUAUUGUCGGAGUUGACCCCGACGUUACAGUAAGGAUGAACAAACGAGAAACAAGAGUAACCGUGUACGGUUCACGGGAAAGUAGAAAAGCGAUCUAAAGCGGUGUCUAAUCAACGUUUAUGUCUAGGUAAUUAUUCGCCGCGUAGGUUUCCUGAGGCGCAGAGGCCUUAAUUUGUGGCAAUAAACGAGCAAAGAACGACGGGAAUCGAAGUGGCAGAAAUGGAUCGUGACUUCUUUGCCGAAUGGCUGGCCUGCACCGUACGCCACACGUCGCCCCCCCCCUCCCCGCCCGGUUAACGAGGAACAACGUGGAACCGUGUGUUGGUUGUGCCGAGUCGACGGUCCGGUUCUACGACGGAGGUGUCAAUCCCAUUAUGUCUGCCUGCUGAUCCGUUCAGUAACCGGCAGCAAAUCGAAUCAACAGGUUCUACGGAAAAUAAAAGCCGCAAAAUGCGCCAAACGACUCUACUUUACUCGACUGGACACGACAUGGCGAAGCCUCCUGCGUCACGCAACGAUGACACGUUUUACACUUUAUCUCCAGGAUGAGCCCAUUAGUCUAAUGUCCCGGAUCAUUUUUACUGGAAUACGGUAACCCUGUGUAAACACCGUGUUUAUCCAGUAGCGGUAGAUUCUGGGUCCAUCGCUGCAACCAGCAUGGUCACCGGCGUCGUCAUCAAGCAUCGACAUCGGCAUCGGGAUUAACGAACAGGUGUACCGUGUACCUCGCGACGGCGGCGCUCGAACGUUUAAAAGGUCGUUAAACAGCGCCCUUGUCCGCUACCAGGCUGAAUAUUACCGCGAGCCAAGAGGUGACAGGAC